rnacentral:rRNA from 1 species
UACGUAGGGGGCGAGCGUUAUCCGGAUUUACUGGGCGUAAAGCGCGUUAAGGCGGUUGGCAAAGUUGGUUGUGAAAUCUCAGGGCUCAACCCUGAAAUUGCGACCAAUACUGGUCGACUAGAGUGCAAGAGAGGAAGGUGGAAUUCCCGGUGUAGUAGUGAAAUGCGUAGAUAUGCGGAGGAACACCGAUGGCGAAGGCAAUCCCCUGGGCCUGCACUGACGCUCAUGCACGAAAGCGUGGGGAGCAAACAGG